GAUCUCCUAUGAUGCUUUGCACUGGGCUCUGAAUGUAUAUAAUAUAUGCUGACAUGUGCAGCUCUGCCCUGACAAGGCAGGGAGUCUGAGGAGAUU
ensembl:snoRNA small nucleolar RNA SNORD88